GGGGGUACUGAUACAGAGUCAAUGUGGAGGCUAUAUACAGGGGUACUGAUACAGAGUCAAUGUGGAGGCUAUAUACAGGGGGUACUGAUACAGAGUCAAUGUGGAGACUAUAUACAGGGGGUACUGAUACAGAGUCAAUGUGGAGGCUAUAUACAGGGGGGGUACUGAUACAGAGUCAAUGUGGAGGCUAUAUACAGGGGUACCGGUUCAGAGUCAAUGUGGAGGCUAUAUACAGGGGUGUACUGAUACAGAGUCAAUGUGGAGACUAUAUACAGGGGGGGUACUGAUACAGAGUCAAUGUGGAGACUAUAUACAGGGGGUACUGGUACAGAGUCAAUGUGGAGACUAUAUACAGGGG
ensembl:lncRNA